UCUAACUACACAUGUUAACUUCAAUUCGAAACAAAUAUUUUACCAUAAUUAUAAACAUGAUUGAUGUAAUUCUAACAGAAUAUUAGGUAAGUUAACUUCAUAUAUUCUGUCAGAAUUCUUGCUUAAACUUCAAUUCAACAAGAAUCUUACAAAAAAUGUUUCUUGCACUAAGAACUAAAAGAUUAAAAAAUGUUGUUUGAAAAACUGAUUACUCAGAAAAAAACAGAAUAGAAAACCUAAAAAAAACAUAGAAGUUCAAAGCAAGUCCCAUAUCUUCUUUUUUUCUUCACAACUUCAUUCGACUAGAAUCCUUGACAUUACCGAAUUUCUGAUCUACAUUGUGUUCAUCCCCAGAAGAGUUAUCCUGCAAACAAUAAAAUGUUUUUGGUAUAGAAGUUAACAGUGAAAAUAGUUAAACAAAAUACUUCACAAUUAAAUAAAAAAGAGAGAAUAAUUUGCUUACAAACGUGUGAUUUAAUUUCUAUACGUUGACGUGCUUCAUUGCCGACUCGUCGGAAACCCCAUUUUUUCCUAAAUGCUCGAUGUGUUUCUCUGCUUAGAUGUUGAAGAUUCUGGUAGUGAUGCUAAGGUUUGGAUGAAGUAAUUUAGGAGACGGUAAUGGUGUAACAACAAAUCGAUCUUAAUUUUGCUUAAAUAAAGUGAUAUAAUAUGAAUUUAAUUUUGGAUAUUGUUUAUUGUAUAUGUAAUAUUACAAAUCGACUGUAGCGGAUAAAAGAAGUCAUAUCAUACCGCUGUAGUGGAGAAAAGAUUCAGCGGCUCCAUUUGAUGUGGGGAAGGAGGGCGACGCCGAUGAAGGAAGAUGGUUGACAACAGACGGUGGUGCAAGUGGUCGGCAUCCAGUUUGAGGUAUUAGGUUGUAGAUUUGGUUGUUAGGUGUUGC
rnacentral:lncRNA from 1 species